AGCUGCUGUACUCCAUUACUGGAGAUAUAUACAAUGUCAGCACCAAAGAGGCAAGUGUUGUGUUUUGGGAUGCACUAAUGAACAUAGGAGUCGCCCAUAAUCUCCCCCCAUCUGAGCCGAGGACACUGUGGUUACAUUUCAUUUUCAAAGGAAAUAUCCUGGAAAAAAUCGGUAAUGUCCCCUAAUUGUUUAGGAAUCAAUACCAAUGCUUCAUGCGUGAACGUCAGCUCCAGACAAAUUCUCUAUUCAAUUGAUGCGCCACAAUCAAAGUGCUGUGGAGAAGAGCUCACUAAUGUGAGGAUUCCUGUGAAGCGCGUGGUGUCUUACUGAACCAGCAGCAGCUGUCCCAGACGGGCUAUUGUAUUUAAGAGAAUUUUAGGGAAAGAGAUCUGUGUAGAUCCAGAGACUGCCUGAGUGAGCGGCCAUAUUGAUAAAGUGGACAAAAGAACAACAGCUGCUACAGAAACUAACGCUGCAACAACAUCAACUGCUACAAAAACAACUGCUACAGAAUCAACUUCUGCUGCAUCGACAACUGCUACUACAGCAAAGACUCAGAGCCUUACAGUCUGAAGCUGUUUCUAUUUGAUCUCUACAUUUCAUACUGUAUA